rnacentral:rRNA from 1 species
UACGUAGGGUGCGAGCGUUGUCCGGAAUUAUUGGGCGUAAAGGGCUCGUAGGCGGUUUGUCGCGUCGGGAGUGAAAACAUCGGGCUUAACUCGGUGCUUGCUUUCGAUACGGGCAGACUUGAGGCAUGCAGGGGAGAACGGAAUUCCUGGUGUAGCGGUGAAAUGCGCAGAUAUCAGGAGGAACACCGGUGGCGAAGGCGGUUCUCUGGGCAUGUUCUGACGCUGAGGAGCGAAAGUGUGGGGAGCGAACAGG